UACAGAGACUGCAAGCGUUAUUCGGAUUCACUGGGCGUAAAGGGUGCGCAGGCGGCCAAGUGUGUGAGGUGUGAAAGCCCGGGGCUUAACCCCGGAAUUGCACCUCAAACUACAUGGCUAGAGCAUUGGAGAGGGUAGCAGAAUUCACGGUGUAGCAGUGAAAUGCGUAGAUAUCGUGAGGAAUACCAGAGGCGAAGGCGGCU
rnacentral:rRNA from 1 species